AACAUUGUUGCACUGUUUACUUCAUAUUAUAAUAUUAAUUUCAGACUUUUUUGCACUAUUAUGUUCAUGUUAUCACCUAGCCUGAGAAACUUUAAUAAGAAAUUGCACUAUUAUCCUUGGCACGCGGAGGUAUAGCGCCACGGCGGAGGCGGCAAUAAAGAGGUGGUGUAGCCUCCUCCUACUCCACACCGCUAUAUUCGACGUCACCAUAUCCUUUCAUUUGCACUAUUAGCUUAAAAUUAUAUUAAGAAAUAAAAUAAGUAAAAUUUUGAUUGUUAUGGAUUGGUUGCACUGGAACGAGGCUACGGAUGCACUGUUAUAGAAGGCGGUUGCACCAUUUCUCCUUUCGUGCCUCCUUCACGUUGCACUAUUAUAGGAAAACUCAAUUGUAGGUUUGACUAUAUUAGCUCUUUUCGUAGCUCCUUUCGUAGCUCCUAUAAAAGAACGCCCGAUUGAGUUUCGUAGCUCCUUCGCGUUGCACUGUUUACUUCAUAUUAUAAUAUUAAUUUCAGACUUUUUUGCACUUUUAUGUUCAUGUUAUCACCUAGCCUGGGAAACGUUAAUAAGGAAUUCAUCUCUGAUUAAUGGGUUUGUAUUUUCUUUUCCUAUUCUUCUUCUUACUCUUUGGGCUUCUAAAGUAAGUUAACUUUUACUUAGAAAAUUUCGUAAAGU
rnacentral:lncRNA from 1 species